AUCGAGGUCGGGGUUACGCCUGCACACGGCUGCCGCAGGCACCCACACACACACUUGCGACACCCGUGCACGGAUUCUCGCGGAUUCUCUUGUCGUGGGCUAGGCGAGCAGAGGGUUCUGCGAACUGUUCACGCGGGGAAUCCUUUUUGGCCGUCAACGGGUGGGCAGCCUUUCUCCAUGCAGUAUGCGUCAUAAUCGAUAAGGACAGGAGCGGGGCGCGUGUAUGGGGAUCGUCUUGAAGGAAAACGUCGCGCCCUUCGAGUAUGUCGAAAAAUGAAUGAAAAUCGCGAGAGGGAAGAGAGCGUGAGAGAGAAAGCGAAAGAGAGUGUGUGACUGGGCGAGGUGAGUGCGAGCGUGUAAGGGAGAGAAAGAGAGACAGGGACAAACGCAACGAAUCGUAGGUGUCCGAGGUUAAGAGAAAACCGUGACGGGGUAGGGAAAAAAAGGGAAGACGAGGAAAAGUUUGCGCGCGCGUGUGUGUCUAAACAGUACGAAAAAGAAAAGAACAGAAAGAAAGAAAGAAAGAAAAGAGAAAGGAACAAUCGGAAUCACUUGACACACUCGACAUCGUGAACAUCGUGUUGUUCAUAACGAGUCUCUUUUCGUUUGACAGUCGCAGAAAAGGAUCAACGGUGCGAACAAUCGGCCCCCGGAAGAGUGGAGUGCGGACAACGUAGAGUGAUCUGUAGACAGGACAAUAUAGAUAGAAAGAGAGAAAGAGAGAGAGAAAAAAAGAGGAAAAAAGCUGAUGGUAUCAUCGCGGGCAAGGAAACUGCGAUACGUAAACGGGUCACGCGAGCAGGUCGUGUUAUCGGUGUCCCGUGCUUCGAAGAGGAAGUAUCGAGAUAUAUUGGCGGUGAGUGCGGUAUCGAGAGUAAUUAAGCAGUCGCGGGAUUACUUGGUAAUAAUGGCUGGUCGCGAUUGACUGAGAGAGACAAAGUAAGCGUGUGCGCGGCCACUAGUGUACACUGGCUACAUCUAUCUGAGUAACGCGGCAGGACGAUAGGAACAGGAAGGACUGAGGAGAAAAAAGAGGGAGGGCAAGUGGGAACGGGCACCGAUAGGGGUAGAUAGAGGGUGAGAGAGAGAGAGAGAGAGAGAGAGAGAGAACGUGAGGGAGUGAGAGAGAGAGAGAACGUGAGGGAGUGAGAGAGAGAGAGAGAGAGAGAGAGAGAGAGAGAGAGAGAGAGAGAGCGUGAGAGGGGGAGAGAGAGAGAGAGAGAGAGAGAGAAAGGCAAGGUUGCCGGAUAAGCGGCGGGAUCGCAAUCGAAGAGAAUCAGAUGUCGUUAGGGGCCGUUGCCAGAACCCGGAACGAAUAUAUUGUUAGAAACAGAGUGGCGGUCGAGUGAGAGACAGCACCAGGAACGAAGUGAGAACUCGUCGACUCGUCGUCGUAGUGGUCGUCGGUCGAACGUCGAAUUCCCCCCUUCCGCUUCCUACCACGGAGUAGAAGAGUCGAUGGGCUUGCAAGGAACACGGUUGGAUCGAGUCGAAGCGUGCCAGCGAAGAACGAAGGAGUGCGAUUCGAGGCGGGCAGAUGAUUUUCGAUCGAUUGACGGUCGCACGGCUUCGAGACUAUCGCGCCACCAAGUCCCGUUACGUGUGUAGGUUGCCAUGCCGUCGAACUGCCGUCGGAGAUGCGCACCGACGUUCAGCGAUGAUGACACUUAGCUGAGAUGUGCCAUUUUUGACAGGAUCGAGACAGGAGAGAACAACGGUUACCACGACAUCUGCUUCUUUCAAACGAUGCUUGGAUACAUGGUCGACGGAGAGAAGGAAGAAACACACGGUGAUCAGUAAGCACGGGAGAACGAGAAAGACAGACGAGGAUUGCAGGUGAUAAGAAAGAAAGAGAGAGAGAGAGAGAGAGAGAGAGAGAGAGGAACAAAGAGCAAAGAGAAGCAAGAGAAAGAGAAAAAAAGGAGAGAAAGAAAGCAAAACAGAAGUGAGGAGAGCGGCGUGUAUAUGUGUGGGAGCCGUUCGAGAACGGGAAUCGUUCGAACUGCGAACCAUCGUGUCUCAAGGAGAAUAAUCGGUGACUAGUCGUACCAAUCGUGUGCAGCGUGUCGAAAGCGAUAGAGGGAGAAAAAGAGAAAGAUAGAAAGGCAUGCUUGAUAUACGAGGCGGUGUGAUCGUUUCCGAGUGAGCAACGGUAACAACAGCAGCAGCAGCAGCAGCAGCAGCAGCACAUGCUACGGUGAUCCGUAUCAAUUCGCGACUGUGAUUUCUAAGCUUAAGGUUAUAAACAAAUAUUAAGAAAAAGAAGAAGAAAAAGGAGACACGUGGAAAGAAGAAGAAGAAGCGGAAAGAAGAAGUAUAUAAAUUAUUAAACACACACACACACACACAAGCGAGAUAGGAAAAUAUAAAAAAAUCGUCCAUUGUGAUACUAAGAUAUAUUAAACGAGAAUUAGGUGAACACGUGCGCUCAAGGAGAUGGGUGUGAAUGAAAGGGGGCGCGACACAGAGUGUGCCAGGCUGAAAUGCGAGUGUAAUUAAUGGAAACGAUGGUCGAUCGCGGGGCAUGCGUCGGAUUUACAAACUGUGAUACACCGAUAACCAUACCGAGGAAAGCCUGAUGUUCGAUCACUGACGUCGAAUCGCGAGUACCAACCUAUCUACCAACAAAGUGGGAUGAAUCGCCGGUUUUAAAUCCCGUUCUCGGCCACCUCGUGAUUCUUUCGUAGUCGAACCGCGUACCACCGCAACGCAAGAGACGCAGACACACUCAAGAUCGAAAGCGGCUCGCGAACCAGCAACCACAAAAACUUGUCGUUAAAAGAAAAAAAAAAAAAAAAAUAGUAACGAGCGGCGAUUGAUGCGAGUCAAAGUGACGUUGAUCGCGGAAGAGGCCAAGUAGGUGAAGAAAGAGCCAGGUCGUAGUGAUCAGGCCGGUAAGGAGCAGCCGCGUAGUGAAGCAGGUGAAGCCAGGCGCGAAGAGAGGAGACGAGAGUUUUCGUGCAGCGUCGCCGAGGCAGUCACCAGGCAUCGUGUACCACCCCCUGGCCACGGGGGGUGGGACAGAAAGACCGUCAGCGUGGGUGCCGGUGCUGCAGGGGCGCGCCUGGCCCGUCGGCUCGCCCGCAGAUUAGCACGCCGAUUAGCGGCUAGCUCGGGCCCGUUUCGGCGUACCGGCCUGGCGACCUCGGGGGGCCUCACGUCCGCGGCGGUGGCCGUGGCGGCCACGGGGGAGCAGUCCGCUCCCCCAGCAGCUGCGCCACGUCAUACCACGCCGAACGGAAGCGCCAACGGAUCAACCUCGAGCUCCAACCGCAAGAACAGAGCCAUGUCUAUGAGGAGCCUGCACCGGCGCGUCUCUCAC